UACGGAAGGCAGCAGGGAAUCUUCCGCAAUGGGCGAAAGCCUGACGGAGCAACGCCGCGUGAGUGAAGAAGGUCUUCGGAUCGUAAAACUCUGUUAUUAGGGAAGACAAAUGUGUAAGUAACUAUGCACGUCUUGACGGUACCUAAUCAGAAAGCCACGGCUAACUACGUGCCAGCAGCCGCGGGUAAUACGUAGGUGGCAAGCGUUAUCCGGGAAUUAUUGGGCGUAAAGCGCGCGUAGGCGGUUUUUUUAAAGUCUGAUGUGAAAGCCCACGGCUCAAACCGUGGAGGGUCAUUGGAAACUGGAAACUUGAGUGCAGAAGAGGAAAGUGGAAUUCCAUGUGUAGCGGUGAAAUGCGCAGAGAUAUGGAGGAACACCAGUGGCGAAGGCGACUUUCUGGUCUGUAACUGACGCUGAUGUGCGAAACGCGUGGGGAUCAAACGAGGAUUAGAUACC
rnacentral:rRNA from 1 species